CUCCUCAGGUGUUAACCCUUACAUGACUACUUGUGUUUUUGAUUUGAAGGAUUUUCUGGUGAAGAAGACACCAUGUGUCCACAUUCUUACAUUUACUCUGGAGGUGUCGGGCAGCAGAUGGGAGGUGAUGGAACUGUGUGGUAGUGUAGGCGGUGACAUGACAGGCUGUCAGGCCCUAAUGCAGGCUAACAUCUGGAGGUUGUUGGCCAUGUCACUUCUUGCCUGCCGGCGGGGUCCUCUAGCCUGGGGCCAGAAGCCAUCCCGAGGGACGUACACUCGGGGCAAAACCUGGGCCUCUGAGAUGGAGAGCUGCAGAAAUGAUGGUGUACGUACCGCAGGAGUCACUCUGCCUCGUACCCUGAAGUGAAGCCAAAAAAUGAAGAUCUAGUUGCCUUCCUGAGCUACCUGCAAAGCAUUGUGGGAACCCUGCAUGGCCAGUGGCAGAGAAGAGGAUAAUCAUGGUCCAUCACAACUGGUUAUGUGACAGUCACCUUGAACAGCAAAUAUAACCUCCAACAAAUAUUUACUUUCUUAUUAUCCUUAUACUCACUAACUUUGAUAUUUCAAAAUAGAAA